AGGGUUUGAUCAUGGCUCAGAAUGAACGCUGGCGGCACGCUUAACACAUGCAAGUCGAACGAGAUCUUCGGAUCUAGUGGCAGACGGGUGAGUAACGCGUGGGAACCUGCCCUUUAGUAGAGAAUAACUCGGGGAAACUCGAGCUAAUACUUUAUACGCCCUUCGGGGGAAAGCUUUAUGCGCUAUUGGAUGGGCCCGCGUUAGAUUAGUUUGUUGGUGAGGUAAUGGCUCACCAAGGCUACGAUCUAUAGCUGGUCUGAGAGGAUGAUCAGCCACACUGGGACUGAGACACGGCCCAGACUCCUACGGGAGGCAGCAGUGGGGAAUAUUGGACAAUGGGGGCAACCCUGAUCCAGCGAUGCCGCGUGAGUGAUGAAGGCCCUAGGGUUGUAAAGCUCUUUUGUCAGGGAAGAUAAUGACGGUACCUGAAGAAUAAGAUCCGGCUAACUCCGUGCCAGCAGCCGCGGUAAUAC
rnacentral:rRNA from 1 species